rnacentral:rRNA from 1 species
GAUGAACGCUAGCGGGAGGCCUAAUACAUGCAAGUCGAACGCCCCGCAAGGGGAGUGGCGUACGGGUGCGUAACACGUACACAACCUGCCCAAUACUGGAGCAUAUACCCGGGAAACUGGGGGUAAUUCUCCAUAAUAUAUAGAAUCGGCAUCUUUUCUAUAUUAAAGCUCAGGCGGUAUUGGAUGGGUGUGCGUCUGAUUAGCUAGUUGGUGAGGUAACGGCUCACCAAGGCAAUGAUCUUUAGGGGGCCUGAGAGGGUGAUCCCCCACACUGGUACUGAGACACGGACCAGACUCCUACGGGAGGCAGCAGUGAGGAAUAUUGGUCAAUGGGUGCAAGCCUGAACCAGCCAUCCCGCGUGAAGGAUUAAGGUCCUAUGGAUUGUAAACUUCUUUUGUAUAGGGAUAAACCUACCCUCGUGAGGGUAGCUGAAGGUACUAUACGAAUAAGCACCGGCUAACUCCGUGCCAGCCGCCGCGGUAAGAC